rnacentral:rRNA from 1 species
GAUGAACGCUAGCGGGAGGCUUAAUACAUGCAAGUCGAGGGGUAACAUGGGAGAAUUUCGGUUUUCCUGAUGACGACCGGCGAACGGGUGAGUAACGCGUACGCAAUCUACCUUUAAGUGGGGAAUAGCCCUGGGAAACUAGGAUUAAUGCCCCAUGUGAUAAUGAUAUGGCAUCAUAUUAUUAUUAAAGCUGAGGCGCUUAAAGAUGAGCGUGCGUGCUAUUAGCUAGUUGGUAAGGUAAAGGCUUACCAAGGCUACGAUAGCUAGGGGGCGUGAGAGCGUGAUCCCCCACACGGGUACUGAGACACGGACCCGACUCCUACGGGAGGCAGCAGUAAGGAAUAUUGGACAAUGGGCGCAAGCCUGAUCCAGCCAUCCCGCGUGCAGGAUGACUGCCCUAUGGGUUGUAAACUGCUUUUGUAUGAGAAGAAUCCUUCGGAUUUAUCUGAAGUUGACGGUAUCAUAAGAAUAAGCACCGGCUAACUCCG